rnacentral:piRNA from 1 species
UGAGUGUUGCUUGUCCAUUAAAAAGUGU